rnacentral:rRNA from 1 species
GAUGAACGCUGGCGGCGUGCUUAACACAUGCAAGUCGAACGGAAAGGUCCAAGCUUGCUUGGGUGCUCGAGUGGCGAACGGGUGAGUAACACGUGGGUGAUCUGCCCUGCACUUUGGGAUAAGCCUGGGAAACUGGGUCUAAUACCGGAUAGGACCAUCGUUUAGUGUCGGUGGUGGAAAGUUUUUCGGUGUGGGAUGAGCUCGCGGCCUAUCAGCUUGUUGGUGGGGUAAUGGCCUACCAAGGCGUCGACGGGUAGCCGGCCUGAGAGGGUGUACGGCCACAUUGGGACUGAGAUACGGCCCAGACUCCUACGGGAGGCAGCAGUGGGGAAUAUUGCACAAUGGGCGCAAGCCUGAUGCAGCGACGCCGCGUGGGGGAUGACGGCCUUCGGGUUGUAAACUCCUUUCGCCAAGGACGAAGCGUUUUGUGACGGUACUUGGAGAAGAAGCACCGGCUAACUACGUG